GACGAACGGCUGGCGGCGUGCUUAACACAUGCAAGUCGAGCGGUAAGGCCCUUCGGGGGUACACGAGCGGCGAACGGGUGAGUAACACGUGAGCAAUCUGCCCUUCACUUUGGGAUAACUCUGGGAAACGAGAGCUAAUACCGAAUACGACCACUUCAGGCAUCUGAUGGUGGUGGAAAGUUCCGGCGGUGAAGGAUGAGCUCGCGGCCUAUCAGCUAGUUGGUGGAGUAACGGCCCACCAAGGCUUCGACGGGUAGCCGGCCUGAGAGGGUGACCGGCCACACUGGGACUGAGACACGGCCCAGACUCCUACGGGAGGCAGCAGUGGGGAAUAUUGGACAAUGGGCGAAAGCCUGAUCCAGCAACGCCGCGUGAGGGAUGACGGCCUUCGGGUUGUAAACCUCUUUCAGUAGGGACGAAGCGCAAGUGACGGUACCUACAGAAGAAGCACCGGCCAACUACGUG
rnacentral:rRNA from 1 species